GCGACUGUAGAAAUAAUAAUAAAAAGAAACAGUCAAUCAUGUGAGCACUAAUAAAAUUCACAUUACUGUGAACAAUUGAAAUAUUUUGUGCAUGAAAGUGAGUGUUAGGUGUGUUCCAAAGAUGCUGGCAUUCAAUCAGAAUGACUGCUGAGCUGAGAUUUUCUUUAAGUGUUUGAAACAUCACAGAAGGAAAUUAAAUGCAUUUUAUGACCUGACUGAUGUGUGUUAAGAUAUAGGUCCAUCAUUACACACCCGAAAGCAAAGGAACAAGCAUGGAACGGUAUACAAACUCUCCACUGCCAACAAAAUUCAACACUCUGAAGUUCACUGAACCACGCACAAGAGUAGGUGGGGAAAAGUGGAAAGAAGUGCUCGGUGAUGCAGUAUGAAGGUCUUCAUCCUGAAGUCUGGCAAGACGAGGUGAGCGCCGUACUUCUUCAGAGGUAUAAACCCGCCCCAAACGCGUAGCCACAGCUCUUGUGAUGUGACUUCCUGUUGAAGGUAGAGAUGUAUGACUACUGCCAGCAUUGCUGCUCACACUGCUACCACUAUCACCUGGACUGUUUGCCUGUGGACAAAUAUUACAGUGCUGGACUGAAAACAGAUUCAAAAGUAGAAUGGCAAAUAUUAAACUUGGAAAGAAAGUGUGUGCUAAUUUCAGACUUUAUGAUGAAGUCUUUUAGCAAAUAUACCUAGAAAUAUGAUAUUCUGUGCUCUAAGGGAUCAGAAUGUUCAUCACCAUCACUACUACAACACACCACUGGAUCAUGUGCUGAACUGUUAAAACACGUUCUCAUCCCAUAUGAAACUUCACACAAUACAUUUUGAUUCUAUCCUCCUAUCUGUAUUUAUUUGCUAAAUAUUGUAGUCACUUUCCUUCAAGUUUUUAACCAAAAAGUAUGUAAUUCUUGUAUCUCCUGAUGACCACUAAACAUACUAGGUGAAGAAUUAAA